rnacentral:rRNA from 1 species
AUUGAACGCUGGCGGCAGGCCUAACACAUGCAAGUCGAGCGGAUGAAGGGAGCUUGCUCCUGGAUUCAGCGGCGGACGGGUGAGUAAUGCCUAGGAAUCUGCCUGGUAGUGGGGGAUAACGUCCGGAAACGGGCGCUAAUACCGCAUACGUCCUGAGGGAGAAAGUGGGGGAUCUUCGGACCUCACGCUAUCAGAUGAGCCUAGGUCGGGUUAGCUAGUUGGUGGGGUUAAGGCCUACCAAGGCGACGAUCCGUAACUGGUCUGAGAGGAUGAUCAGUCACACUGGAACUGAGACACGGUCCAGACUCCUGCGGGAGGCAGCAGUGUGGAAUAUUGGGCAAUGGGCGAAAGCCUGAUCCAGCCAUGCCGCGUGUGUGAAGAAGGUCUUCGGAGUGUAAAGCACUUUAAGUUGUGAGGAAGGGCAGUAAGUUAAUACCUUGCUGUUUUGACGUUACCAACAGAAUAAGCACCGGCUAACUUCGUG